UUGCAAAAGACGGUUGAUAUGCUCAUUUCGGUUGCUCUGUUCAUUCGAAUUAAAGCAUGGAUGGUAAAGGAGGGUAUGCAGAAAGUAUGGAUGGCAAAGGAGGGUAUGCAGAAAACAUGGUUGAUAAAGGGGUGUUGGAAGAUGAUCAACCAAUUGCUGGGAAAAGAUAGAUUUGAAAGAAGAAAUCAAACAACUUAACUGAGAACUCACGUUACAGGAGGACACAUUCAAGUGAUUACGAAUGGAAACAGAAUAAUCCAUUUCAUCAUGGAGCGCAAAACAAAUGGGAUUCAUAAGUUGUAUAAAUAAGACAUAUGAAGAAAACGCCUCGCUCACACGCAGGAAAAUUUACAAGGCCCCGCGGGGCAACGCCCGCGGGUCGAAAUUCUAGUU